AAACCAGCACCUCAAGUGGUCAGGAUGAUUAUUGGGCCUAAAGCAUCCGUAGCCGGCUCUGUAAGUUUUCGGUUAAAUCUGUACGCUUAACGUAUAGGCUGCCGGGAAUACUGCAGAGCUAGGGAGUGGGAGAGGUAGACGGUACUCGGGAGGAAGUGGUAAAAUGCUUUGAUCUCUCGAUGACCACCUGUGGCGAAGGCGGUCUACCAGAACACGUCCGACGGUGAGGGAUGAAAGCUGGGGGAGCAAACCGGAUUAGAUACCCUAGUAGUCC
rnacentral:rRNA from 1 species